rnacentral:lncRNA from 1 species
AAUAAAUAAUUUGAUUGAUCACCUAUUCAAUGAAAUUUAAUGUCAUGUCAUAAAACAUUAAAAAAAAUCUCUUGAUUGUUGCAUUUAGUAUAAGGCAUCAGCAUAAAAUAUUCUAAGGGCUGAACCCAUUUAAAAAGAUAAGGUCGGGAUUUCAUCACUCGUCCUUAGCCCAAAAAUUAUCCCAUUGCAUAAAUAUCCUAAGCUUAACUAAAAUCAACUAGACGUUGGCCCCUAAGGACAUUCGAGCUCAAUAGGACG